CUGUGUUUCUUCCUGUACUUCACUGCCUCCUUCUCUCUCCCUCCUCUUCUCUCCUCUCUCUCACAACCACUUGAAGAGACACCAUGAGCCUGGGCCCUCCCCUGCAGCUCUCUCUCUCUCUACUCCUUAAAGAAAGCAAACAUCUUUUCCCAGGCCUUUCCCUGACCCCAUCUUUGCAGAGAAAGGGUUUCCAGAGGGCAAAGCCUGGGCCACAGCACAGCUGGAUCAGGUAGGCUGUCACUGCUGGAGGAUCCACCCGCCCAGCCCAGAAGAAGCCAUUGAAACUGAAAGGAACACUGAGAUCCAGCAGCUCCGUUCCCCAACUCAUCACUCCUGCCCACGUGGGGAGACAGGCGUGAGAAGGAAGGGGCAUGCCUAGCGUCACACAUGAAACCUCAGGCUCUGCUUCUGCCUGACGGCUCUGCUCAGCACGCCCAAGGCUGAGAGGAGACAUUGGGGGUCAUGUGGGGCGGGCAGGGGGGAUGUAGGGAUUUGUGGGUCGGGAGCAAGGGAAGAUCCCCGCACCCACUACCAAGUUCCCUGAGCAUCUGUGCUUCCUGUGACGACCCUCGCCCUUGGCAGGAACAACGUUGGGAAGUCUCCAGGUCAGACCCAGCUUGGAAGCAAGUUCAUCCUCACUGCCUGUCCUUCUGCCAUGUAACACCCGCUUCCUGCUCUGCUCCCCAGAAUCCUCAGGAAGGGGAUUUGUGUUUGCCAUGACUGGCUAGCCUGAAGGCAUUGGGCUCCGUAGCUGGGAUAGGAAUGGGCAGGAGAAGCAAGAGUCGGAGCUCCGAGGGGCCUGGGGUGGCCUGGGGAAGGAAGGUGGUCAGCAGGCUGGGGAGAGCCUCUAGGUGGUGAAACAUUACCCCCCACCCACCCCAAGAGAGUGCCCACCCUCAGACCUGCCGUCCACCUGACUGCAAAAUGCCCACCCUCUCCCUGACUUCCCUCCCCUCACCUCCCUGAGAACAGCUAGAGCCGCCUCCUCCACCCAGCCAGGCCACCAGCUUCCCUUCUGCAAAUAUUUGUGUCUCUGAAAUGCUCCAUUGUUAUUGUUUCAAGACCCUAACAUUUUUAAAAAAAAAUUUUUUAAUAAAGGGAAAAGAAACUUG